rnacentral:siRNA from 1 species
AUAGCGAUUUGCGAGGGAUUAGC